rnacentral:rRNA from 1 species
GACGAACGCUGGCGGCGUGCUUAACACAUGCAAGUCGAACGGAAAGGCCCUGCUUGCAGGCUUCUCGGGUGGCGAACUGGUGAGUAACACGUGGGUGAUCUGCCCCUUACUUCUGGAUAAGCCUUGGAAACUGGGUCUAAUACUGGAUAUGACCAUGCUGUAUGGGGUGUGGGGGGAAGAUUAGUUUCGGUAAGGGAUGAGCUCGCGGCCUAUCAGCUUGGUGGUGGGGUAAUGGCCUACCAAGGCGUCGGCGGGUAGCCGGCCUGGGAGGGUGGACGGCAACAUUGGGACUGAGAUACGGCCCAGACUCCUACGGGAGGCAGCAGUGGGGAAUAGUGCACAAUGGGCGCAAGCCUGAUGCAGCGACGCCGCGUGGGGGAUGAAGGCCUUCGGGUUGUAAACUCCUUUCAGCCAUGACGAAGCCCUUGUGGUGACGGUAGUGGUAGAAGAAGCACCGGCUAACUACGUG